rnacentral:rRNA from 1 species
UAAAGAUUCAUCGCUGAUAGAUAGGCAUGCGUCCCAUUAGGCAGUUGGCGGGGUAACGGCCCACCAAACCGACGAUGGAUAGGGGUUCUGAGAGGAAGGUCCCCCACAUUGGUACUGAGACACGGACCAAACUCCUACGGGAGGCAGCAGUGAGGAAUAUUGGUCAAUGGGCGUAAGCCUGAACCAGCCAAGUCGCGUGAGGGAUGAAGGUUCUAUGGAUCGUAAACCUCUUUUAUAAGGGAAUAAAGUGCGGGACGUGUCCCGUUUUGUAUGUACCUUAUGAAUAAGGAUCGGCUAACUCCGUGCCAGCAGCCGCGGUAAUACGGAGGAUCCGAGCGUUAUCCGGAUUUAUUGGGUUUAAAGGGUGCGUAGGCGGCCUUUUAAGUCAGCGGUGAAAGUCUGUGGCUCAACCAUAGAAUUGCCGUUGAAACUGGGAGGCUUGAGUAUGUUUGAGGCAGGCGGAAUGCGUGGUGUAGCGGUGAAAUGCUUAGAUAUCACGCAGAACCCCGAUUGCGAAGGCAGCCUGCCAAGCCAUGACUGACGCUGAUGCACGAAAGCGUGGGGAUCAAACAGGAUUAGAUACCCUGGUAGUCCACGCAGUAAAAGAUGAUCACUAGCUGUUUGCGAUACACAGUAA